rnacentral:tRNA from 1 species
GUUCAAAGAGUGUCACCACGUCACCUUUUCGAGGUGGAAACGGUACCGAAAGGUGCCUUUGAAUA